AUGGGGCGUGCCAUGCGGUGGCUCAAGAGGCUGCUCACGGGCAGGAAGGAGGCGCACGGAGGCGGCAAGGAGAUCCAUGCCGCGACCGACUGGCAUGACGCGGCGGUGAAGGAGUCCACCAAGAGAUGGAGCUUCGUGAAGCAGAGGAAGAGCGGGGUUGACGCCGGGAAGCGGCCCUCAGAGCCUCUCGCCGCCGCGCUGGAGGUGAAGCCAUGCCGCUGUGCCGGCGGCGAGCAGGCGGGAGCACGCGAGGAGAAGGCGGCCGUCGUGAUUCAGAAAGCCUUCAGAGGCUACCUGGCUAGGAAGGCGCUCCGCGCUCUCAGAUCACUCGUCAAGCUGCAAGCUCUGGUCCGAGGCUACCUCGUGAGGAAGCAGGCGGCUACGACUCUGCACAGGUUGCAGGCGCUCAUGCGGCUGCAGGCCGAUUCCCGCGCAUUCAAGAGCGCCUCCUACCGGAAAUCCAUGGAGCAGGAGAGGAUCGUUGCGCAAGAUGCUCGGAUGAGGACGCCGCCGGCCAAGCCGGGGCACCGCCGGAGGCUGUCCGACAGCACAGACUCCAACUACGAGCGCAGCCCGCGGAUUGUGGAGAUGGACACGUGCCACCUCCGCUCCCGGUCCAGCCGGAUGGUGAGCAGCGGCCGGUACGCCACCGAUCGCUCGUCCGGCCGCCUCGCCCCGGACGUGGCCCUGCCGUUCUCGCCGCGGUCUGUGAAGCAGCCCCCGCGGCUGUGCACCCGGCGUGAGCCCGUCAGGCUCGCCAAGACGGCGCAGAACACGCCCCGCUUCGGCGGGCCCGACGCGCCCUACACGUACGACUCGCCUGCCAAGAGCGUGGACGGGCUGGCGGCGCGGCCGGCCUGGCACCGGGACCUGCUCGCGAGCCCGCGGUACAUGGCGGGCACGGCCUCGUCGGCGGCGAGGCUGCGGUGCCACAGCGCGCCCAGGCAGCCUGAGGAUGCGCCGAGGGCGAGCCUGACCCAGCGGGAUGCUGGGCCGAGGAAGUCGAUGUGCACGCGGACGCAGCAUGGCGGCCUCUGCUUCCACAGCUCGGAUGCCACCCACACGCGCCGCUCCGACCUCAGCGACGACGCGGCAAGAGAUUAUUACUUGGACAGGAUGUGGUGA
rnacentral:rRNA from 1 species